UAUGACCAUAUCAUGCUGAAACACUAGUUCUCAUACGAUCACUGAAAUUAAGCAAUGUUGAGCCUGGCCAGUACCUAGAUGAGUGACUAUUUUGGAGUACCUGGUG